UUUCCGUAGGUGAACCUGCGGAAGGAUCAUUAGCAUAGUAGUUAGGGGAGGGGGUGGUGUCGGUGCGGCGGUUCGGGGGUGCGUAAGUGCCGCUGUUCUGUCGUGCUGUGCGCCGUCCCUCCUAACCACCACCAUGUGAACGAGGAUGAAUGGUGCGAUGCGUGCAUCGUACAUGAUGUGGGUGCUCUGUGAGCGAGGCGCGCAGACUCUUGGCGUCUCUGCCGUGCUGUUCUGGCGCAUCGCCGCGGGGCAACCGCAUUCCAUAACAUACGUAACGACGAUGCAUCCAAGCGAUGUAUUAUAUAAUUACACACACACACACUAUACCAACAUUUAUACAACUUUUAACAAUGGAUCUCUUGGCUCCU
rnacentral:misc_RNA from 1 species